rnacentral:misc_RNA from 1 species
GGAAGUAAAAGUCGCAACAAGGUUUCCGUAGGUGAACCUGCGGAAGGAUCAUUAUAGAGAUCCUGCCCUAACGGGUAGACCUCCAACCCUGUGUAUUUAUACCUUGUUGCUUCGGCAGGCCGUCUAGGCUUCGGCUUAGCCAUGGGCUUCGGCUUGUGAGUGCCUGUCAGAAGACACUAAAACUCUUGAUAUAAUUGUCGUCUGAGUAAAAACUUAAUAAGUUAAAACUUUCAACAACGGAUCUCUUGGUUCUG